CCACAGGCUCUAGGGGAGAAGCUGUUCCCUGUCCCUUAGUCUCUGGGGCUGUGGGCAGCGCGUGGCACUUCAUGGCUCGUGGAUACACAUUGCUCUAACCUUGGCCUUGGUCGCCACGUGGCCUUCCGCCUGUGUCUCUUCUUUGUAAGGACAUCAGCCACACUGAAUGAAGGACCUGUCUACUCUGGUGUGACCUCAUUUUAACUAAUGACAUCAACAAUGAUCUGUUUCCAAAUAGGAUCACAUUCUGGAGUUCUGGGGAGGGAGUGGAUUUUGAGGGGAACUGGUCAACCCAAUACAUCUCCCUGAGGAUGUUCUGUGCUAAUCCCUGGAAUGGAUGAAGAUGAGAUGUUGUUCUUGGGCAUAUGUCCUGCUUAUGCACAGGUGACCUCAUGGCUGGAGUGCAAUGGCGAAAUCUCAGCUUACUGCGACCUCUGCCUCCCAGGUUCAAGCAGUUCUCCUCCCUCAGCCUCUGUGAGAAGUAGAAAUGUUUCUUUUUAAAGUUGAUUAAGAAAUACAAGGAAGAUGCACGUCCUCGGGAAAAUCACAGCAAAUGCACCACACCUGCUCUGCGCCGACUCUGUGCCCAGUACCUUCCUUGAUGAACUCAUCGGUCUCUCAGCACCACUUUGAGGAAGGGUCUGCGGGUCUCCUGUUACGGAUGAAUAACCUGAAGCGCAGAGAGGUCUCUAGCAAGGCCCAGGAGUUUUGGAAGGAUCCUUUCCUAACAUUUCUGAAGGACAGUAAUUCAGAGUCUGCACCAAGCGCAGCAGCCUGCUGUGUUGCUCUUUAAGAAGGAGGGUGUUGAAGGGACCUGUGAAGCUGUGAGGCUGGAUCUGCACGAGCAUCCACGCAGCAGAGCCCCAUCUCCAUCUUCAAGUGGGCAAAGCCUCUGCUCAUUAGAGGGAAGGGGUAUUGAAGACCGCGUGUGACUCGCCCGAGUGGGCUUCUGCGUGCUUGUGAGUGGGAUCGAUACCCCUCUAGCCACUAUCGAUAGGAACGGUGUUGUGCCCAGCGUGGCCUUCCCACGGGCCCCCACCUGAGCCCUGCCACUCAGCACACAUUAGAGAGAGGAUGUGAUGCUGAAAAGACCCUGAAGUGUGAUCAAAAUGCAGGCAUUAGCCCCAGGGCACCGUGGCAGGAAUCUCCUCUUGCCUCGGGUAGAAGCGGAUGCUGAGCAGGCUCUUGCAGGCGCUCGGGCAGUGGGUGCUCUCCAUGUGAGCAGCUGCUGCACAGGCCCUGGCCCUAAGCUCACCUGGGACCCUGCUUCUCCCCAGUGGGGGACUUUGGGCAGGUCACAGAGUUAUCUCACUCACUGAGGGAGGCAGUCCCUCAAUGGCCUCUGCCCACCUUUCCUGCCUUCAAUCGUUCAGCUCGGAUUUUUCGGGUAUGCCUGUGUCCAGGUGCAGGGUCCACGGGGUUCUCACUCCUGGGGAUCUGCUGGGGGCUGCCUACAGUCAUCAGAAACUAACUCCAACUGCUGCAAACAAAGAAAACCUAUUGAAGGACAUUUGGGUCUCAGGACAGAAGUGAGGCUGAGGAGAUGGGUCUGGGGCUGAGGAGAUUCCCAAGAAGGUGGAGUCAGCAGCAAGACCAUUCUAUGACCUUGCCAGGACCACCGCUGAAAUUAACCACGCUGUUUUCAGCCAAGACUCACUGCAACCAUACCCGGGACCCAGCAUCGUCCCAGGCCUUGGGGACUGUGCAGGAAAUAAAUGAAAAGAUGAAGCCCCCCCA
rnacentral:lncRNA from 13 species